ACAAACUUGGUCAUUUAGAGGAAGUAAAAGUCGUAACAAGGUCUCCGUUGGUGAACCAGCGGAGGGAUCAUUACAGAGUUGUAAAACUCCCAACACCUUUGCGAAACUGCCUGAAGUUUGCUUCGGCAGGUGGGCCCCCCAGCUGGGGGCGCCCGGCACCCUCGGGUGCGAGCCUGCCGAAGUUGUCUAAACUCUUGAUUUCUGUUGACAUCUCUGAGUAUUUUACCAAUAAGUUAAAACUUUCAACAACGGAUCUCUUGGUUCUGGCAUCGAUGAAGAACGCAGC
rnacentral:misc_RNA from 1 species